rnacentral:lncRNA from 1 species
GCGUAGAGAUAGAGCACAGGCGUAUAGAAGAGAGAAAAAUAAAGAGAGAGUAGUCUUCUUCUUUUAUAGAAGACGAGAGAAGGGUGAGAGAGAUUUAGAAUGAAGGUGAAGGUUUGCGUUAAAGUUGUUCCGCUAGAAGAGGAGUCAAUUGUAAUUUUUCUUUUGUUUAGUCAAUCUUAUUUAUCCGUUUUUUUGUUCUUUUUUUUAUCGUAUCAGGUUUUGCCGAGGAGACGGAUUUAUGGUAAAAAUUCGAUUUGACGCUUUCGGAAUCCCAACAACUGGUACCGGAAUUAGUACC